rnacentral:lncRNA from 1 species
GAUGGGGGGAGAGGCCGAACAGCACCCACAUGCACCUCCACAGUCUUGUUAGGGACAGGAGGAGAACCUCACCCUAACAUGAGCAAAGUCGAAGGCCCGGUUCCUCUUAGAUCAGAUAGGGGGAGAGGCCGAACAGCGCCCACAUGCACCCCCACAGCCUUGUUAGGGACAGGAGGAGAACCUCGCCCUAACAUGAGCAAAGUCGAAGGCC